UACGUAGGGUGCAAGCGUUAAUCGGAAUUACUGGGCGUAAAGCGUGCGCAGGCGGCUUUGCAAGACAGAUGUGAAAUCCCCGGGCUCAACCUGGGAACUGCAUUUGUGACUGCAUGGCUAGAGUACGGUAGAGGGGGAUGGAAUUCCGCGUGUAGCAGUGAAAUGCGUAGAUAUGCGGAGGAACACCGAUGGCGAAGGCAAUCCCCUGGACCUGUACUGACGCUCAUGCACGAAAGCGUGGG
rnacentral:rRNA from 1 species